rnacentral:RNase_P_RNA from 1 species
CGAAGCGAAAGGGCAACCAUCGGUUUAAAACUGAGGAACCUCCUGACUCCUCUAUCAGAUGUGGAAACUUUCCACCAUGCGAGAGUGUGGCUCAUGGAACAGAAACGACACGUCCUAUAUUCCGAGACAAUGAUGCGAUGAAGAUAAUGGUGACAUUAUUGAGAUAAUUUGCUGAGGAGAAUAUAGGGAACGAUGAAACGGCCAAGCAUCUUGGAGCAAGCUUAAAUAGGGCUCUUUGAGCCGGGUAAAGUGCUUAGACGAAUGUUGCCAGGAAGGUCCUUGACGGCUUCCAAACAGAAUCAGGGGUAUUUUCGCAUCG